rnacentral:rRNA from 1 species
AUGCACCAGCUCACUCGUGGCCUCGCCCUCUCAGGAGUGGAUUUCGUGUGGGUGAUCGGCGCCGCAGGCGCUGCCCCAGAUACUUCAGAGUGGAUGCCAGAAGGCUUCGCCGAGCUGAUGGGCUUCAUCAUCCGAGGCUGGGCGUCGCAGUUGCUCAUCCUGGACCACCCUGCCGUCGGUGGGUUCUUGACGCACUGUGGUUGGAACUCAACUCUGGAGGCCGUGAGCGCCGGUGUGCCGAUGGUCACGUGGCCGCGGUAUGCAGAUCAGCUCCACAACGAGCAGCUCGUCGUGGAGAUGCUUGGAGUGGGUGUCAGCAUCACCGGCGGCAAGGACUACGCGUCUUCUGGGGAGGCGAUCGCUGAAUCAAUUGUUAGACUGAUGGGCAACAGCGAGGAGGGCGAAGCGAUACGAGAGAAGGCCAAGGACCUCGGCAUGAAAGCAAUGUGCGCGGUGGAGAACGGUGGAUCUUCGUACAAUGACGUGGGCAGUCUGAUGAACGAGCUGAUGGCCCGUAGGACGGCGUAG